AUGCAGCAGACGGAAUAUGGAAGAGUCAUUCAAAUGGCACUGAUUGGAAAACUUGUAGCCAGCUCCCUCUGUCUUGCUGGAGGCACAGAUCAGCAAGAUUGGAGGGGAAGGAGGAUGAAGGAUUACUGGCCCACCUCGCCUGGGAUGGGAUGGUGGCCACAGGCUCUGGUGUCCACAGAGCUCCCUGUGCUAUGCCCUGCUUGUCAAGCCUCCCUCAGCAUCUGUAACGGCUCCCAUCAAAAUUUUGAAACUACGCAAGUCCACUUGUGUUCAAGAGCUGCUGUACUGCUGGAAAUUAAAAUAGGUCAGGGUCAAAUGUUUGUACAGAUAUUACAAAUAUUUAAUUGA
rnacentral:lncRNA from 1 species